GAUGAACGCUGGCGGCGUGCCUAAUACAUGCAAGUCGAGCGAACAGACGAGGAGCUUGCUCCUCUGACGUUAGCGGCGGACGGGUGAGUAACACGUGGAUAACCUACCUAUAAGACUGGGAUAACUUCGGGAAACCGGAGCUAAUACCGGAUAAUAUAUUGAACCGCAUGGUUCAAUAGUGAAAGACGGUUUUGCUGUCACUGCUAGAUGGUUCCGCGCCGCAUUAGCGAGUUGGUAAGGUAACGGCUUACCAAGGCGCCGAUGCGUAGCCGACCUGAGAGGGUGAUAGGCCACACUGGAACUGAGACACGGUCCAGACUCCUACGGGAGGCAGCAGUAGGGAACCUUGCGCAAUGGGCGAAAGCCUGACGGAGCAACGCCGCGUGAGUGAUGAAGGUCUUCGGAUCGUAAAACUCUGUUAUUAGGGAAGAACAAAUGUGUAAGUAACUGUGCACGUCUUGACGGUACCUAAUCAGAAAGCAACGGCUAACUACGUG
rnacentral:rRNA from 1 species